GUGUGAGUGUGCUACCAGGCGACGACGGGUAGCCGGCCUGAGAGGGCGACCGGCCACACUGGGACUGAGACACGGCCCAGACUCCUACGGGAGGCAGCAGUGGGGAAUAUUGCGCAAUGGGCGGAAGCCUGACGCAGCGACGCCGCGUGGGGGAUGACGGCCUUCGGGUUGUAAACCUCUUUCGACCUUGACGAAGCUUUCGGGUGACGGUAGGGGUAGAAGAAGCACCGGCCAACUACGUGCCAGAGGCCGCGGCCGA
rnacentral:rRNA from 1 species